GUUCAGUGUAUCCUAGUGGACAUGGCAUCUGCCCGGUAAGCGGAACACUGUGGGUUCGAUUCCCACCCCUGGACA
rnacentral:tRNA from 1 species